UCCGUUGUAUCCCCCUCUUCUGUCGAUGACGCUCCAUAGCCACGGAUUGAAGAACCCGGAUGUAGCACGCUUCAUCAAUAUCAUCAAGGGCAGUAUUUUCCAAGGUAGCCCAGUCGGCCUCCUUCUCAAUUGUGGAAUCCAAUUGGCCAAGUGCUUGUUCAUAGAUCCCAGCAAUCCGAGGGGCUUGCAUAUGUUCGGUCACAAACAGACGGUCACCAAAGCCUUGGUUAUUUGCAUCGUCAGAAAAGUUAAUGUACUUGGUGUAGUCAUCAGAAAGAACGUUGGAAGAAUCACCAGCAUUAUCAACCACUUCCGUA
rnacentral:lncRNA from 1 species